GACGAACGCUGGCGGCGUGCCUAAUACAUGCAAGUUGAGCGCUGAAGGUUGGUACUUGUACCAACUGGAUGAGCAGCGAACGGGUGGGUAACGCGUGGGGAAUCUGCCUUUGAGCGGGGGACAACAUUUGGAAACGAAUGCUAAUACCGCAUAAAAACUUUAAACACAAGUUUUAAGUUUGAAAGAUGCAAUUGCAUCACUCAAAGAUGAUCCCGCGUUGUAUUAGCUAGUUGGUGAGGUAAAGGCUCACCAAGGCGAUGAUACAUAGCCGACCUGAGAGGGUGAUCGGCCACAUUGGGACUGAGACACGGCCCAAACUCCUACGGGAGGCAGCAGUAGGGAAUCUUCGGCAAUGGACGAAAGUCUGACCGAGCAACGCCGCGUGAGCGAAGAAGGUUUUCGGAUCGUAAAACUCUGUUGGUAGAGAAGAACGUUGGUGAGAGUGGAAAGCUCAUCAAGUGACGGUAACUACCCAGAAAGGGACGGCUAACUACGUG
rnacentral:rRNA from 1 species